GGAGAGGUGCCCGGAGCGGUUUAUCGGGGACCGGGGCUUCGGCCCUGGUCGGGUGGUCAGCCCGCCUUCGCAGGUUCGAAUCCUGCCCUCUCCG
rnacentral:tRNA from 1 species